rnacentral:rRNA from 1 species
GGUUUAGCCCUCCCCUAUAUAAUAUCGCCUCGUCCUCUCGGCCGCCACUCUCCACCGAUCCCCUCACCCCCACCGGCGGCGCACAGCCCGACGACCCGAGCGAUCCUGCGGAGGCGGCAGCCAUGGUGCACGUCAACUUCUACCGCAACUAUGGAAAGACCUUCAAGAAGCCAAGGCGUCCGUAUGAGAAGGAGCGUCUUGACGCUGAGCUGAAGCUGGUUGGGGAGUACGGUCUGCGGGCCAAGCGUGAGCUCUAUCGUGUGCAGUAUGCCCUCAGCCGCAUCCGAAAUGCUGCCAGGGAGCUGCUCACUCUGGAUGAGAAGAACCCCCGCCGUAUCUUUGAGGGUGCGGCUCUCCUCCGCCGCAUGAACCGCUACGGUCUUCUCACUGAGGAACAGAACAAGCUUGAUUACGUGCUUGCCCUCACUGUUGACAACUUCCUCCAGCGCCGUCUCCAGACCAUCGUCUUCAAGAAUGGCAUGGCCAAGUCAAUCCAUCAUGCGCGUGUCCUUAUCAGACAGCGCCACAUCAGGGUUGGAAAGCAGCUCGUCAACAUUCCUUCUUUCAUGGUGAGGGUGGACACUGAGAAACACGUCGACUUCUCGCUCACCAGCCCCCUUGGUGGUGGCCAACCUGGAAGAGUGAAGCGGAAGAACCAGAAGAAGGCCUCAGGUGGUGGUGGUGAUGACGGCGAGGAGGAGGAAGACUAAGCGCUCAGCCUCGACCCGCAUAACUUCCGUUGCAGAAAUGUUGAGAUUGCCUUGUGGAUCUUGCAACGGGAAAUGAUUCAAACUUUGGUUCGUUCUUAGAAACUUAGUGGUGUAGAGCUUUCGUUGCUUCAGAAUCAUUUGGCUAUCGAUUCUAAAAUUAAACUUAUGUUUGUUGGUUUUGCUUGGUUAGUGACUACCGAGCAGAAGAAGUGAACUCAGUGAUGCUGCUUCGUUUUUUGUGAACCAAACGUAUCUUGUUAUUGAUUUUACAGGCCUGGUUCUGAGUUAGUUUACUCUGCAUGAAGUGUUG